CCUAUGGGGUGCANCAGGCGAGAAAACUUUGCAAUGUGCGAAAGCACGACAAGGUUAAUCCGAGUGGUUUCUGCUAAAGGAACCUUUUGUNAGUCCUAGAANCAUUAGNUGANGAAGGGNGGGCAAUAAUGUGG
rnacentral:rRNA from 1 species